rnacentral:rRNA from 1 species
GGGAGCAAUCCUGAUCCAGCCAUGCCGCGUGCAGGAAGACUGCCCUAUGGGUUGUAAACUGCUUUUAUACAGGAAGAAAAAGGUGUACGUGUACACUGAUUGACGGUACUGUAAGAAUAAGGAUCGGCUAACUCCGUGCCAGCAGCCGCGGUAAUACGGAGGAUCCAAGCGUUAUCCGGAAUCAUUGGGUUUAAAGGGUCCGUAGGCGGGAUGAUAAGUCAGUGGUGAAAGUCUGCAGCUCAACUGUAGAAUUGCCAUUGAUACUGUUGUUCUUGAGUUAUUGUGAAGUGGUUAGAAUGAGUAGUGUAGCGGUGAAAUGCAUAGAUAUUACUCAGAAUACCGAUUGCGAAGGCAGAUCACUAACAAUGAACUGACGCUGAUGGACGAAAGCGUAGGUAGCGAACAGGAUUAGAUACCCUGGUAGUCUACGCCGUAAACGAUGGUUACUAGCUGUUCGGGCAAAUUGAUGUCUGAGUGGCUAAGCGAAAGUGAUAAGUAACCCACCUGGGGAGUACGUUCGCAAGAAUGAAACUCAAAUGAA